rnacentral:rRNA from 1 species
AAUGAACGCUAGCAGUAUACUUGACACAUGCUAGUCGAGCGGAUGAGUGGAGCUUGCUCCAUGAUUCAGCGGCGGACGGGUGAGUAAUGCCUAGGAAUCUGCCUGGUAGUGGGGGACAACGUUUCGAAAGGAACGCUAAUACCGCAUACGUCCUACGGGAGAAAGCAGGGGACCUUCGGGCCUCGCGCUAUCAGAUGAGCCUAGGUCGGAUUAGCUAGUAGGUGAGGUAAUGGCUCACCUAGGCGACGAUCCGUAACUGGUCUGAGAGGAUGAUCAGUCACACUGGAACUGAGACACGGUCCAGACUCCUACGGGAGGCAGCAGUGGGGAAUAUUGGACAAUGGGCGAAAGCCUGAUCCAGCCAUGCCGCGUGUGUGAAGAAGGUCCUCGGAUUGUAAAGCACUUUAAGUUGGGAGGAAGGGCAGUAAGUUAAUACCUUGCUGUUUUGACGUUACCAACAGAAUAAGCACCGGCUAACUUCGUGCCAGCCGCCGCAGUAACAC